AUGGGACCAAUCAAGGCAGAGUUCGGCAAUCGGCGCCGGAGAUUCGCAAGCCCAGCGCCCUGCGCGGCCGCCCGCCGGCCUCCCGCCAGCCUCACGCCAGCCCGCCCCAACCUGCGGCUCCGCUGCCCAGCGGCGCCCAAGUCAGCCCUGCGGCAGGAAAGCAUACAGGGAGACACCAGGCAUCUCAAUGGAGAGGAGGGCGCAGGCGGGAGGGAAGACUCGAUCCUCGUCAAUGGGGCCUGCCGUAACAAGUCCUCCGACUCGCCCCCAAUCCUGGAGGCCAUCCGCACCCCCGAGAUCAGAGGCCGAAGAUCAAGCUUGAGACUCUCCAAGAGGGAGGUGUCCAGUCUGCUAAGCUAUACGCAGGACUUGACAGGCAAUGGCGAUGGGGAAGAUGGGGAUGGUUCUGACACCCCAGUGAUGCCGAAGCUCUUCCAGGAAACCAGGACUCGGUCAGAAAGCCCAGCUGUCCAAACCCGAAAUAACAACAGUGCCUCCAGCAGGGAGAGGCACCGGCCUUCCCCACGUUCCACCCGAGGCCGGCAGGGCCGCAGCCAUGUGGAGGAGUCCCCAGUGGAGUUCCCGGCUACCAGGUCCAUGAGACGGCGGGCGACAGCAUCGGCAGGCAUGCCAUGGUCGUCCCCUCCCAGCCCUUACCUCACCAUUGACCUGACAGACGAUACAGAGGACACAGAUGUGAUGCCCCAGAGCAGCAGUACCCCCUACGCCCGCCUAGCCCAGGACAGCCAGCAGGAGGGCAUGGAGUCCCCGCAGGUGGAGGCAGACAGUAGAGAUGGAGACAGUUCAGAGUAUCAGGAUGGGAAGGAGUUUGGAAUAGGGGACCUCGUGUGGGGGAAGAUCAAGGGCUUCUCCUGGUGGCCCGCCAUGGUGGUAUCUUGGAAGGCCACCUCCAAGCGACAGGCCAUGUCGGGCAUGCGGUGGGUCCAGUGGUUUGGCGAUGGCAAGUUCUCCGAGAUCUCUGCAGACAAACUGGUGGCACUGGGGCUGUUCAGCCAGCACUUUAAUUUGGCCACCUUCAAUAAGCUCGUCUCCUAUCGAAAAGCCAUGUACCAUGCUCUCGAGAAAGCUAGGGUGCAAGCAGGCAAGACCUUCCCCAGCAGCCCUGGAGACUCAUUGGAGGACCAGCUGAAGCCCAUGCUGGAGUGGGCCCACGGGGGCUUCAAGCCCACUGGGAUCGAGGGCCUCAAACCCAACAACAUGCAACCAGUGGUUAAUAAGUCGAAGGUGCAUCAUGCAGGCAGUAGGAAAUUAGAAUCAAAGAAAUACGAGAACAAGACUCAAAGACGCACAGCUGACUACUCAGCCGCCUCUGACUACUGCCCCCCACCCAAGCGCCUCAAGACAAAUUGCUAUAACAACGGCAAAGACCUAGGGGAUAAAGAUCAGACCUGAGAACAAAUGGCUUCAGAUGUUCCCAACAACAAGAGCAGCCUGGAAGAAGGCUGUUUGUCUUGUGGCAGGAAAAAUCCCGUGUCCUUUCACCCUGUCUUUGAGGGGGGCCUCUGUCAGACAUGCCGGGAUCAGUUCCUCGCGCUGUUUUACAAGUAUGGUGAUGAUGGCUAUCAGUCUUACUGCACUGUGUGCUGUGAGGGCCGAGAGCUGCUGCUCUGCAGCAACACGAGCUGCUGCCUGUGCUUCUGUGUGGAGUGCUUGGAGGUGCUGGUGGGCACAGGAACAGCGGCCGAGGCCAAGCUGCAGGAGCCCUGGAGCUGCUACAUGAGUCUCCCGCAGCGCUGUCACGGCAUCCUGCGGCGCCGGAAGGACUGGAACGUGCGCCUACAGGCCUUCUUCACCAGUGACACGGGGCUUGAAUACGAAGCCCCCAAGCUGUACCCUGCCAUUCCCGCAGCCCGAAGGCGGCCCAUUCAAGUCCUAUCUCUGUUUGAUGGAAUCGCAAAGGCUACCUAGUCCUCAAAGAGUUGGGCAUAAAGGUGGGAAAGUACGUCGCCUCCGAAGCGUGUGAGAAGUCCAUCGCUGUUGGAACCAUGAAGCACGAGGGGCAUAUCAAAUACGUGAACGACGUGAGGAACAUCACAAAGAAAAGUAUUGAAGAAUGGGGCCCAUUUGACUUGGUGAUAGGUGGAAGCCCAUGCAAUGAUCUCUCAAAUGUGAAUCCAGCCAGGAAAGGCCUAUAUGAGGGCACUGGCCGGCUCUUCUUUGAAUUUUACCACCUGCUGAAUUACUCACGCCCCAGGGAGGGUGAUGACCGGCCGCUCUUCUGGAUGUUUGAGAAUGUUGUAGCCAUGAAGGUUGGCGACAAGAGGGACAUCUCGCGGUUCCUGGAGUGUAAUCCAGUGAUGAUUGAUGCCAUCAAAGUUUCUGCUGCUCACAGGGCCCGAUAUUUUUGGGGCAAUCUUCCUGGGAUGAACAGGCCCGUGAGAGCAUCAAAGAAUGAUAAACUCGAGCUGCAGGACUGCUUGGAAUACAAUAGGAUAGCCAAGUUAAAGAAAGGACAGACAAUAACCACCAAGUCGAACUCAAUCAAACAGGGGAAAAACCAACUUUUCCCUGUUGUCAUGAAUGGCAAAGAAGAUGUUCUGUGGUGCACUGAGCUCGAAAGGAUCGUUGGCUUUCCUGUGCACUACACAGACGUUUCCAACAUGGGCCGUGGCGCCCGCCCAGAAGCUGCUGGGAAGGUCCUGGAGUGUGCCCGUCAUCCGAUACCCCUUCGCCCCUCUAAAGGACUACUUUGCAUGCGAAUAGUUCCAGCCAGGCUCCAAAUCCACUGGGUGUGUGGCAGAGUCAGGACCCAGGAGGUGUGAUUCCUGAAGGAAUCCCCAGGCCCUGCUCUUCCUCAGCUCUGUGGGCCAUAGCACGUACCUCAGUUCCCUCCUCCUCAGUGGGGGCAGAGCCACCUGACUCUCUUGCAGGGGGAGCCCAAGGUGCCGCCUCCUGGUGCACAAUUCAGACCUGGCUGCUUGGAGCAGCCAAACACGGUGCUCAUUUUUUCCUUCUCUUAAAACUUUAAAACUUGAAGUAGGUAGCAGCGUGGCUUUUUCUUUCCUUCCUGGAUCUACCACUCAGAGAAACAAUGGCUGAGAUACCAAAACCACAGUGCCGACAGCUCUCCAAUACUCAGGUUAAUGCUGAAAAAUCACCCAAGACAGUUAUUGCAAGACUUUAAUUUCUGAAAACUGGCUGCGACUCUGUUGCCAGGCGUGUGCAGUUGUAGGCAUGUAACUACAGGACAUUUUUAAGGGUCCAGGAUGGUUUUUUUCAGGGAAAGCAGAAGAGGAAAUAUUGUAUAUGUCUUUUACCCGGCACAUUCCCCUUGCCUAAAUACAAGAUGUGGAGUCUGCACGGGACCCAUUAGAGUAUUUUCCAUAAUGAUGAUGAUUUCAGCAGGGAUGACAUCAUCAUCACAUUCAGGGCUAUUUUUUCCCCCACAAACCCAAGGGCAGGGGCCACUCUUAGCUAAAUCCCUCCCAGUGACUGCAAUAGAACCGUCUGGGGAGCUCAGGAAGGGGUGUGCUGAGUUCUAUAAUAUAAGCUGCCACAUAUUAUGUAGACAACUACAGCUCCUCCAUACCUCCCUCUUCCCUAGGAGAAGAGUGUGAAGGAAGGAGCUUAGAUAAGACACUCCCUCAAACCCAUCCCCUCUCCAAGAGACCUACCCUCCACUGGCACAGGUCCCCAGAUUAGAAGUCUGCUACCUUCAUUCCUCAUCUUUUUACUAAACUCAGAUGCAGUGACAGCAGUCAGGGACAGAAGCACACUUCUCACACCUUUCCCUCAUCUAAGAGAUGACAGGGAAAAUGGCAAUGAAAGCUCAGUUCUCCCUCUGGAGAUUUUUAAAUUUUUUUUUAUUCCACGAUAAGUCAUUUUUAGGGGGAAUGGGAGUUCAGAAGCUGCAUUUCAGAAAUGCUAUAGUAAUGGUUUUUAACAUCUUUUACUCCUCUUACUGGUGCUAUUUUGUAGGAUAAGGAACAACAUUGACAAGUUUUGUGGGGGUUUUUAUACACUUUUUAAAAAAUCUCAAACUUCUAUUUUUAUGUUUACCGUUUUCAUUAAAAUUUUUUUGUAACUGGAGACACAACAUAACAAAUAUGGGGAAAAAACUGUGCCUUGUUUCAACAGUUUUUGCUAAUUUUUAGGCUGAAAGAUGACGGAUACCUAGAGUUUACCUUAUGUUUAAUUAAAAUCAGUAUUUAUCUAAAAAAAAAAAAA